GUGGGGAAUAUUGGACAAUGGGGGGAACCCUGAUCCAGCCAUGCCGCGUGUGUGAAGAAGGCCUUUUGGUUGUAAAGCACUUUAAGCGAGGAGGAGGCUACCGAGAUUAAUACUCUUGGAUAGUGGACGUUACUCGCAGAAUAAGCACCGGCUAACUCUGUGCCAGCAGCCGCGGUAAUACAGAGAGUGCAAGCGUUAAUCGGAUUUACUGGGCGUAAAGCGCGCGUAGGUGGCCAAUUAAGUCAAAUGUGAAAUCCCCGAGCUUAACUUGGGAAUUGCAUUCGAUACUGGUUGGCUAGAGUAUGGGAGAGGAUGGUAGAAUUCCAGGUGUAGCGGUGAAAUGCGUAGAGAUCUGGAGGAAUACCGAUGGCGAAGGCAGCCAUCUGGCCUAAUACUGACACUGAGGUGCGAAAGCAUGGGGAGCAAACAGGAUUAGAAACCCUUGUUCC
rnacentral:rRNA from 1 species